AUUCAUAUUAUACAGGUGUUGAUCUAUAACUCCAUCUGGUUCUUUCAGCUUAAGCUUUGACCUUUCAUGACUAUUAUCACAGUUUGAAGCAUUUUCGGUGACCACAGGUGCUUUCGUCUUGGCAUUCAUACCAUACAGAUCUUGACCUAUAUCUUCAUCUGGUUCUUUCAGCUUAAACUUUGACCUUUCAUGACUAUUAUCACAGUUUGAAGCAUUUCCGGUGACCACAGGUGCUUUCCUCUUGGCAUUCAUAACAUACAGGUGUUGAACUAUAUCUCCAUCUGGUUCUUUCAGCUUAAGCUUUGACCUUUCAUGACUAUUAUCACAGUUUGAAGCAUUUUCGGUGACCACAGGUGCUUUCGUCUUGGCAUUCAUACCAUACAGAUCUUGACCUAUAUCUCCAUCUGGUUCUUUCAGCUUAAACUUUGACCUUUCAUGACUAUUAUCACAGUUUGAAGCAUUUCCGGUGACCACAGGUGCUUUCCUCUUGGCAUUCAUAACAUACAGGUGUUGACCUAUAUCUCCAUCUGGUUCUUUCAGCUUAAGCUUUGACCUUUCAUGACUAUUAUCACAGUUUGAAGCAUUUCCGGUGACCACGGGUGCUUUCCUCGUGGCAUUCAUACCAUGCAGAUCUUGACCUAUAUCUCCAUCUGGUUUUUUCCGCUUAAGCUUUGACCUUUCACGACUAUUAUCACAGUUCGAAGCAUUUCCCAUGACCAUAGGUGCUUUCCUCUUGGAAUUCAUAUCAUGCAGGUGUUGACCUAUAUCUCUAUCUGGUUCUUUCAGCUUAAGCUUUGACCUUUCAUGACUAUUAUCACACUUUGAAGCAUUUCCCAUGACCAUAGGUGCUUUCCUCUUGGCAUU
rnacentral:lncRNA from 1 species